UCCACUCAUCAAACCCUAGCCCCCAAUCCCUGCUCGUGUCUCUCCUCCCGCACGUCCUCUCCCCUUCCCUUGCCUGCCUCCUCCUCCUCCAUGAGCUCCAUCGGCUCCAUCCUCCUCUCCAUCCCUUCCACUCCCCGCUGCUGAACUCGAGUCGCCACCGCACUGCUGAGCGCGGGCCGCCGCCGCGCCGUGCGAGAUUGGGAGGACGUCAACCCUACCGAGCACGGGCCACCGCUGUGCCAUGCGAGAUGGCGAGGACGUCAACCCAAGGUGAGCCUCCUUUCUUGAAUCCUCUGCUUGUGCCUUUUCUUGGUGUGCAGCUUCCAGCCAGAACGGGGAGGAAGAAGAGGACACAGAGAGGGAGUAAAUGGGUCAAUUUUAUGGUUCAGUACCAAGAUUCCCAGAGGAGUUGUUUCUAUGCAUUGGGAAGACGAGCUGGGCUACCCACUCAUAGGAGAAGCUCAGAGAGGCCUGAAGAAUCCAUCUUGAAUCUGUACAGAUCCAUACAACAAUUCGUGCUAUGAGAGAUGGACCUUCUUGGACAUUGAUGGUUCUGCAAAUACAACUUUGAUUGAACAGAGAGUUGUUUUAUUGAUAGUUUCUUGUAUUUUGCAAAUCCAUACUCCAAUUUGUGAUAUGAGGGAUGGACCUUCUAGGACAUUGAUGCUACUGGAGUUAUUUGUUGUUUUAUGGCUGGAUAUUUUGAUCCCUUUGCCGUUCCAUUGCUUCUAGAGAAACUUGCCUCCUCUCUUGCAUUAGCAAAGGUCGCAGGUAUUCUUACUGGAGGAUGGUCUUUAAUGGCCAAGGUUUUUGGGUGAAUGGAACAGCGUAAUAGAUGGAGCAGAAGGGGGGCCCUUGGUGUUCAUCAUAGGUGAAGAAAUGUCAGAAAGUAAAUUAGUUUGGAGGAUUUACCGAAAUUUGGAUAUAUCUGGUGCUUGGUUUUGAGGUUUCUGUCAUAUAUUAUGUAUCUUCUGUCGGACAUAUAUAUCAUACUUCCACAAGAGGACCACAUUCAUUUUGACAACGGUCAUGUAGAGGGCGUAGCUAGGGUUCAAGGAGGGUGAGUUGGUGGCCUGCACGACACCACCACCCUCGAAGUUGCAGUUGCUUGGUUCUGCUGUUGUGCCGAAUCAAGUGGCGGAUGGGCACCAUCAUCCUCUUUCAGGCAAAGAUCAACAUGCUCUUUCCUUUUGGUUUGUUCUCCCAGUUUAGAUAUAUGUUGUUGGCAUACAUAUGUUGUUCCAAUUGCUUGAAAAGGCGUGUAUGGCUAACCGGUGAGACGUCUGUCCAUGCAUGAUGUCAUUUUGCUCUGAUGAAGCUGCUCUUCCCCUAAAAGUGUCAGUAAUGAUGGGCUUGGGGAAGGUACAGAAGCCAUAAACAGAACACUGGACAAUCAAAUUCAUAAUCGGCGUUUCUGCUGAUCAAGUUAAUCAUAUUUCCUCUAUGGUUGAUUGUAUUAUGCAAAUGCCUAAAAAGGUGACCAGAGAACCAUGUCUAUAGGAAUAUGGAAGAGAAAUCAACAUAUGAGGUUAUAUGAUGUAUACAUGCAAGUGUGCCGGGUGAUGCGAGCCAAUAGAAGAGGAGAAGCCAUGGAGAAAGGAUUAGGAGAGAUGUUCCAUGCCCUUAGCUACUGCCUUCCCAGCACCAACUUAGGCUACAUCAGCAAGAGUGAAGUUGUGCAGAAGGGAAGAUGGACUUGUGGUCAGCUUUUUUUCACCAGUGGUCAAAGAAUUGGAAGGUAGACCACGUUUUAAUGAGAUUUUUCAAGAAGACGAGUAUCCAGCAGAAUUCCCUUACAAAGGACCUAUAAAGGAGUUGUUUAGAAUGUGGUUGAGGUCAGCUCGUAAAGUGUCCCAAGUGGCUCUCCUAUAACAGGAUGGUGGCACGAUUGAUAUUUGCUCAUGAUAUUCGUCUUUCCAUGGGUGUGGUAAAACGAUGGAGGGUUUAUCACCUUAGGGUGUUCUUAGUCUCCUCAUUAUUUGUAUUGUCUUGUCUUACACAUAAUAGAAUCAAGGAUGACAGAAUAAUUCUGAAUUUCAUCAUUUGUUCCUUAUUUAUUCCCCCCUCUCCCAAAUUGCUUGAUUAAGUCGAUUGGUGUGCUUGGUAGCCCACUUGGUGGUCCUUAUUAGGAAAACCUUUGCUGUA